rnacentral:miRNA from 1 species
AGGGAUCACAACUCCAGUGCU